AAGGCGAUGGGAAUGGAGGAGCCUCAGGUAAACUGUAACGAACAUUGUUUAAUCAUCAAUUUAAUCUAUAGGUGCACAAUGAACAUUGCUUAAUCAUCAAUAUAAUCUGCAGAUGCCAAUGGUACAAUGAUUAGGAAAAGAAGGUGGUAUCAACUCCAUGAGAAGCAUACUGUAUAUGCUAUGGAUCUAGAGAGGACCAAAGCUGGGGUAUUGAGUCCAGGAGUGUCCAAAGAGGUGUCUGACCUUACAGGCAUACCUCAGCGGACAGUGCAAAACUGGUGGAAGAAAUGCAAGGAAGCCGGUGGAAUACACGCACUGGAAAACAAACGGGCAAAAAACUGCGGCC
rnacentral:lncRNA from 1 species